CAGUUCGGAUCGGAGUCUGCAACCCGACUCCGUGAAGCUGGAUUCGCUAGUAAUCGCGCAUCAGCCAUGGCGCGGUGAAUACGUUCCCGGGCCUUGUACACACCGCCCGUCAAGCCAUGGGAGCCGGGGGUGCUUGAAGUGCGUCGCCGUGAGGCGCGCCCUAGAGCAAAACCGGUGACUGGGGCUAAGUCGUAACAAGGUAAC
rnacentral:rRNA from 1 species